AUUAUUCUUUAUAUAUAUAUUUUUUAUGAUACCAAAUUCGUUUUUUUGUCACUACUAAAAAUAUCUAGAUAUAUCAUUAAACUAAUUGUUAAGCCAGUGAUAAUAUUACCUUUUAUGAUAGAUAAAUUCAAUCAUAGUUAUCUAAAUAUCAUCCAAAUGAUAUUCUUUAGUUAUCUAGAUACUACAUUGAUGGAACACCAUUUUAUUUUUAUUAAUUUCUAAGUCUACGUUUGAGGCGGUAUUAUUCUAAUGAAACAUUCGAAGUAGCACAACUAAAGUACAUUGUUGGCUCGAGUUUGAUUAAACUCCUCGAGAGCGAAAACAUACAAUUAUUCGAAGAGAAAUAUCGUUGAAAUUCUUCUCUUGUGCAAAAUGGGAAGUCCACAAUUUCGAAGACAAAUCGAGCUAACCUUCUUGUUUAAUAGAAGCAAUACAUUUCAAACAGACUACUGGUUACAUUAGUACAACGUUCCGUGCAGUAUAUUUACUUACGGGUGAAUCAUUUUAUCAGACAUUUUCACAAUGUAUAAAAAAUAAAUAUUCAAUGCUGUAAUAUUACUACAUUCA